UGCGGGAUAAAGGCUGCUCCGUCUGAACUUCGAGGCGGGCCGGUGGGCGACCUGCACUUUGAGGGGUUUCGGGUGGUGCUGCUGCCCAUUGUCAGGGAGUCCCCCCGGCCCGUCGUGGCCGGAGCUACCGGCAGCAGGGCACCGGCUUCACACGGUUUGGGGUGUUCGGUCUCUGAGCUUUUCCCACAGAGGUGUAAAACCGAGACAGUUUCCGCCUCUCCUUUCCAGUGGCUGAAACCCACUGCUGUAGAGGUAAGGAGGGAAUGAAGGAAAUCCCAGAUUGGUGAGUAGUUCCUCUGCCUCAGUGUGAGUCCCAGAUUACGGUGAAUGGGCUCAAAUUCCUCACUAGCAAGUUCUGCUCCACUUUGGAAAAAACGGUAUAUAUUUUCUAACACUAAUAGCCCAGAAAGGGAUAAUGUCCGUUAUGAAAUUCAGCAAGUGGCUUUUACUCUUUUCUGAUCCUCAUAAAACACUCAGGGCCAUCCAUGCUUUUAUACCACUCUGUAGAGGUGUACCUGUCUUAACACACCUGCUUUAUGUCCUGUAUCUAUGCUGAAUUCUCCCCAUUUGAUUUUGAAGUGUAUAGUCUUUUAUGUCUUCCCAGAUUAACCUGAAAUUUAGCCCUCAGAGAGCAUUAUUCCUCAGCCACAACAAUGUCCUUUGCCUGGAAGACUAUUUUAUCUCUUCUAAUACCCUACUUGGCUUUCUGUGCAUAGCAAUCGUUCAGCAGGUUAUGCAAUUCCAAGAGGGGUUAAUGAAUCCAUCAUGAUAAGUUAUCUUUGCAGGGUUCUUGAAAUCCACAGGUGUAUGCUAGUUGGCAUUUAGGGAAAUGGUUAGUGGCUGCUAGGGCUGGAAACCCUAACCUGGAGAACACCCUAACAAGAGAUACUUUCAGUGUUACUGGUUAGAUAUCUGCAAGAGUACCCAGUGAAGAUGGAAAAACUGCCACUUUCACAGAUAGGAGUGUGUCAAGAAGCUCAGGACUAAGUGCAAGCUAACUUGAUCUGCAGCCCAAAAAUUUCUAGCUAACUAGAAUGCCCUGCAGGACAAAGGAAGGGUGUUGUAGUGUAUGUAAAAUGCUCCUUGGAAGGUGGACUGAAUGCGGUUGAGGCUUUCCUGACAGCCUGUGCUUUCCCUGAACAACGCAAUGCAAAGAGCUAUCUGUAAGGUGACUGGAUUCCAUCUCAAGGAGGGGAAGCUGGGGCAAACUGCAGCCUGGCUGUAGCUACUGUGGGAACACUAAUCCUGCUAGAUCCCAUCUGCAUGUUACUGCAAGCUGUGGGUACCUGCAGGUGUAACGUGGAGGAAGAAAACCCAGUGACCACUUCCAUGCCUCCUUGUUCCCAUGUAACUGAUUGCUAUUUUCUUGCUACAGGAGAAGCUCCUAUCUUCUCUCCCCAUGCCAACCAUGCUUAAACAUACUGUGCGUUUGUUGGAGGAUGAGUCAAUUCUAGCUGCAUGUCUGAGCUACAGCCUUUGUUCUACUGUAUUUCCAACAGAGGAGCAAAAGCAUGGAGAGAGGAGGAAAUGCGGGUAUCAGAGGAAAUUUCUAGACCUGCUGGGAUCAGAAUUGGUGCAGAUCCACCUCAGUGGCUUUCCUCAGGCAGUCAGAAAGGCGAAGACAGGCUGCAACCAGGCCUGAAUGGCCCCAUUCUUCUCAGCCAACCACUAACACUUAAGACACGUACUACGAAGGUCCAAGAGGAGAAGGGCUGCGUGUGGAGGCAGUAGUUUUUUCCCAGUGAGAUUCUCCCUGCCCUUACUACACAAGUGAUGUGCUGCUGCGGUGUGUGACUGCACAAACCAAGCUGUUAUGUGUUCAGAGUCAUAUCUGCCUGCCUGCAUGACAGAAAUGAAGCAUUUGGUGCUUUCUCCUUCAUUUAAAGCUGCGGGAGCCUGUAGGGCGUGUCCUCCUCGUGCACCAAGGUGUCCACGUGUGCCACUUGUCAAUCAGGGACUUCUUCGCCAAGGAACAUCUGAGCAAAUCUCUUAAUAACAGAGGGACUACACACAGAUUAUUGUGAUCAUAAUUUCACCAACAUAGCCUUUAUUACUAAUGGUGAUGUUGGAGAUGGAAAACCCAGCGUGAUUCUCAGAUCCCUGCUGGAAAGUAAUAAAAUAAAGAGAAACAAAAUCUGCACGUGUAUUUGCUACCAAACCUUUGAAAAACACAAAAGUGGAAUCCUGCCAAUGCUAUUACUGGCAAUUUUUCAGAAUGGAGCCUCAUUCUGAGGGAAUCUGCCAAACGGAAAAUGGAAAAUCACUUUGAGAGAUACCACAAUUUUUAAACUUCUUCAAGAGACAUACAGAAAACAGCAGUUAUAUAUCAACUAGAGGAAAAAAACGCAGAAGCCUAGAUAUUUCUUGGUAUCCCUUUUAUGUGUUCACUAUUAGAAUGUGAAUAAUAAUAAUGAUGAUGGUGGUGAUACAUUCACUAUUAGAAAGUGGAUGAUGAUAAUAAUAAUGUUUUGCACCCUGUGUUCUACCCUAAUCUUUGAUCAAGAUUUUGGAGUACUUUUAGCUGCUGUAACUGAACUCUAUAAUACUUCUCUAUUGUCAGCACAAGAUGUGAAGUGAUUGCUGCUCUUUGCCGUGUCUCAACAGAUCGGAGUCAGGUACCCAGCUGAACGACACGGGAGGCUGUGCAAUGCUUUACAGGACCUGGCUGCAGCAACCUAAGUUUGACUUGAUGCAGGUUCAGGGCUGAGCAUCCCUCUUGGCUAGGAAAUGUGACAAUGCCCAAAAUGGUCACAUAGUCAGGGUGUGGUGGUUACAUACCACAAGCUUGACUUUGCAGAACUAUGCUGCCCAAAGACCAGGGUUUCUUUGAGGAAAGUGUUUCUCCUUUAGAGGUGGGGCUGCUUUGAUGGGUGUUCAUUUUGAACCUCAAGAGAAUCUUGAUGUGUGAGAUACUUUGAGUUAGUAAGGUCUUCUAGUUACUAAGAUUUUUUUCCCUUAAUAUUGCUUUCCCUGCUGAUUAAAUUGGGAUGGAACUCUUUGGCUUACCAUUUGCCCAACGCCCAAGAAUGAGCAGCUCCAGGAACCUGCAGUGCCUGGGCCUCUUGGGGACAGGAAGGCACAGUAUUAAUGGCAUUAACACUGCCUUAAAAUUAAGUGUAGAGCAGUACAGUCUGCAGCACUGCCAUGUGCAGGAGAGGGAGAACCCUAUUUAUACGCCAGCAGGCUAUUCUGGGAGUGCUAACACUGGGAGUGAGCAGCUGUGAGAAAAACAGAGAAUAAGUGAUAGUACACUCUGAAAUGGAAAUCAUAGCAAAGCACCAUAUGUGUUGACUGAGUAGUACCGCCAGCGCCCUCGUUUCGGUGCUCUGAAGUGAUAGCUUACAACUUGCUUGAUGAAUUUUCACAAAACUGCUGUUCCACACAGUAAUCUCCAGCAUUGCAGCUGUUCUGACUUGUAUACAGCACAUGGGAAAACAGUGGUCAGCAAAAUUCAGUCUUGAAUGCUGCUGGAAGACCAGGCAAGAACUGAAAUAUUUGCCUUCCCCAUUGCAGACCUCAUUAACAGAUGUACAUAUCAUCCCCUGGGAAUGCAGUUUCCUGAUCAUGAGGUUCUUCUGUGAGCACCACGCAGAUGGAUUCCUGCUUGCAGGACUCAUGCGUUGCAAUGUUUACAUUCACCUCCUAAAGCUUUCAUACAAAUAUGAGAACAGAAUAUUAAUUCCCUUGACAAGGCUGCUUUGUCACACAAUUGGGCUGUUUAUUUGCCUGCCAUGAUUACUAUCACUAUCAAUAGUUUCAGUUUUGUUCUUGGACUCUUUAAAGAUUUGAGAAGUUUCUGUGGGCCGUGUUUGUCUGUGCAAUGGAGUUAACUCCAGCCAAGCACGUGUACGCAGCCAAGGGCAAGCCAGGACUUGUGACAGUGGGGUCCUGAGGUGGGCUUCCUAAAAUGUGUGAAAAGCCAGACUGUUAAAAGCAGUCAAGGCUCUGUUAUGGCCUCAUCUCUCAAAUCACUCUGCACUUAACAUAGCAAAGCCUUGAAAAUCCAGUGGUUCUUGAGCUCUUUGGCUCCAUCACAGGUGUUAAGCCCUUCACAGGUGUUAAGACCUUCUCACCAUGGCAGCUCCAGCCAGACACCAGUUUUGAGUCACUGCAACUGCAGCCGUGUGUCUAUCCUGGAAGGGCAUCCCAGACGCAGAGGUCUGUGCCAUGGCCAUGGCCCCACUUCUGCGCCCUCCUUCUUCCUCCCCCCUGCAAAUC